rnacentral:rRNA from 1 species
AACGAACGCUGGCGGCAGGCCUAACACAUGCAAGUCGAGCGCUUCCCUUCGGGGAGGAGCGGCGGACGGGUGAGUAACGCGUGGGAACGUACCCUUUUCUGCGGAAUAGCCACUGGAAACGGUGAGUAAUACCGCAUACGCCCUUCGGGGGAAAGAUUUAUCGGGGAAGGAUCGGCCCGCGUUGGAUUAGGUAGUUGGUGGGAUAAUGGCCUACCAAGCCGACGAUCCAUAGCUGGUUUGAGAGGAUGUUCAGCCACACUGGGACUGAGACACGGCCCAG